UGCGUAGGUGGCGAGCGUUAUCCGGAAUGAUUGGGCGUAAAGGGUGCGUAGGCGGAUCGUUAAGUCAGUGGUCAAAUUGAGGGGCUCAACCCCUUCCCGCCAUUGAAACUGGCGAUCUUGAGUGGAAGAGAAGUAUGCGGAAUGCGUGGUGUAGCGGUGAAAUGCAUAGAUAUCACGCAGAACCCCGAUUGCGAAGGCAGCAUGCCGGCUUCCUACUGACGCUGAAGCACGAAAGCGUGGGGAUCGAACAGG
rnacentral:rRNA from 1 species